rnacentral:lncRNA from 1 species
UUCAGACACUGGAUGAGGGCACCGCUGGCUCUGCUGCUGUGACUUUUCUACUGGGGAUCGAGGGUUCGCCCUCCUCUCUAACCUUUGCUCAGGUUUCCGUGACGACGUCUGGCUAGCCUGGAUCCUGCUUGAGCUUGGUUUUCUACUGAGUGAACCCUAUCAUGUGAUCGUGUCACCUAACUGCAAGGAGAGCUAAAUGAAGUCGUUAGCUGGCCAACGAUUUGUCAUCUAAUCCUCACUCCUAUUGAAGAGCGAGGGAGUGGAUGUUAGCCAGCCAUCUGCCCACUUCAACCAUCCUUGUGUUCUGAUUUUUUUAAUCUGAUUUUUAAUACACUUUUUAAAUAUAUAUAUAUAUGCUAUUUUAUUAAUGCUUUGAGAAUUUCAUACAAUACACUUGGAUCAUAUUAACCCUUUAUUCCUCUCCCUAAUUCCUCCCAAGACCACCCCUAUCUCCUAACCUCCCCAUCUUCGCCCUCUUUAUUAUUACUGCUUUUUGUAACCCACCGAGUCCAGUUUGUGAGUUGAAUUUGUCCUGCAUGGGAACUGAAUCAUGGCCAACCUACUAGAUAAAGGCCACAUCCUUAACG